GGAGGGGAGAGAUCCAUCUGGGCGCCCAUGUCACUCUGCUGUGUUCCCCACGUUUCUUCCCCAGGGGCCAUGUCUGAGUCCUCCUUGUUUCCCAGAAUGAGCCUGAGCCUGGCCCCCAGGAGCGGCUCAGCAAAUGUACUUCUGCUUGCGCCUUAAAAACACGUCGUUCCAUUUCCUCCUUGAGAACGAGGCAUUGUUAAUAACCUCUGAAGAACUGGGCAUCCGUGCCAAGAGGAGAAUUUUCCAUCCCCAGAGGGUUCACCACAAACAGGAGAGAUUUUCCUGAUAUUCACUAUGAGAACCUAGCUGAGUGUCCAGAAAUUAAAGAUAGUUUUUCACAGAUGAAAUCAGCACAUCAGACGGUCAUAAAUCUGCCUCCUCUGGGACUCACGCCUCAAGCCUUGCCCCCGUCUGCAGGAGCACCUAAGGGAGACAUUGUGUCUGACGUUUCUGCUCGCCCUUACUACGCGAUGGGUGAAUGGAGGUGGCAGGAAAUCUACGGUCAGCCCCUUCUUUUAAACUCACAGCUAAUUUCAGAGUUAAUAAUUCAUCUCCCCUAUGACGCUGCGUCAAGUAGGGGUGCCAUCAGCUUGGGUAAGACUGCCCGGGAGGAAAAAAUUAUUAUGGAAAAAAUUAAAAUAUCUACCCAGGAGAUUGUGGGGUACUCUUUAAAAAAAAACUACAUGUAUUCAUGUGCUACUCUCUGCGCGUGUGCAUGCCCAUGUGUGUGCCAUAGCCUGCGUGUGGAGGUCAGAGGUGAUUCUUUCCUACCACAUGGGGCCUGGGGAUAAAAUUCAGUCAUCAGCUUGCUAGCAAGUGUCUUAGCCACCGAGCCAUCUCACUAGCCCAAAACACUCCUUUUAAUUGUUCAGGCAAGAACAUAUAGAACUCUAUGUGCACCAUGAGCAUGCCCUUAGUGGUG